rnacentral:rRNA from 1 species
UACAGAGGGGGCGAGCGUUGUCCGGAAUUAUUGGGCGUAAAGGGCUCGUAGGCGGUUUGUCGCGUCGGGAGUGAAAACACCGGGCUUAACUCGGUGCUUGCUUUCGAUACGGGCAGACUAGAGGCAUGCAGGGGAGAACGGAAUUCCUGGUGUAGCGGUGAAAUGCGCAGAUAUCAGGAGGAACACCGGUGGCGAAGGCGGUUCUCUGGGCAUGUCCUGACGCUGAGGAGCGAAAGUGUGGGGAGCGAACAGG